rnacentral:rRNA from 1 species
AAAGAAAGUUACUAAGAGCGUAUGGGGGAUGCCUAGGCUCUCAGAGGCGAUGAAGGACGUGAUAAGCUGCGAUAAGCCGUGGGGAGAUGCAAAUAAUUUUUGAUCCAUGGAUUUCCGAAUGGGACAACCCAUCCUUUCGAGGAUACCAUUUUAAAUGGGGCCAACCCGGGGAACUGAAACAUCUAAGUACCCGGAGGAAAAGAAAACAAAAGUGAUUCCGUAAGUAGUGGCGAGCGAACGCGGAUUAGCCCAAACCAAUAUUGUUUCGGCAAUGUUGGGGUUGUAGGACUGCGAUAUGAGCGAAUGAUCGAAGUGGAAGCAUCUGGAAAGUUGCACCGUAGAUAGUGAAAGUCUAGUACACGUAAGAGAUUUUAAUCUAGCAGUAUCCUGAGUAGGGCGGGACACGAGAAAUCCUGUCUGAAUCUGCCAGGACCAUCUGGUAAGGCUAAAUACUCCUGAGAGACCGAUAGUGAACAAGUACCGUGAGGGAAAGGUGAAAAGCACCCUGAACAAGGGAGUGAAAUAGUACCUGAAACCAUGCGCUUACAAACGGUUGGAGCCCCUUCGUGGGGUGACAGCGUGCCUUUUGCAUAAUGAGCCUACGAGUUACUCCUCACUAGCAAGAUUAAGAACUUCAGGUUUGUAGUCGAAGCGAAAGCGAGUCUGAAUAGGGCGCUAAAGUUAGUGGGGGUAGACGCGAAACCUUGUGAUCUACCCAUGUGCAGGUUGAAGUUCCGGUAACACGGAAUGGAGGACCGAACCAGGGAGCGUUGAAAAGCUCUUGGAUGACGUGUGGGUAGGGGUGAAAGGCCAAUCAAACUAGGAAAUAGCUCGUACUCCCCGAAAUGCAUUUAGGUGCAGCGUUGUACGAUGUUUUAUAGAGGUAGAGCUACUGAUUGGAUGCGAGGGCUUCGCCGCCUAUCAAAUCCAGACAAACUCCGAAUGCUAUAAAAUUAUUACAGCAGUGAGGGCAUGGGUGCUAAGGUCCAUGUCCGAGAGGGAAAGAACCCGGACCAACAGCUAAGGUCCCCAAGUGUAUACUAAGUUGAACAAACGAGGUCUGAUUGCUUAGACAGCUAGGAUGUUGGCUUGGAAGCAGCCAUUCAUUUAAAGAGUGCGUAACAGCUCACUAGUCGAGCGAUCGGGCAUGGAUGAUAAUCGGGCAUAAAGUAUACCACCGAAGCUUUGGAUUCUACACUGUAGAGUGGUAGGGGAGCAUUGCAGUUGCGUUGAAGGCGAAUCGUAAGGUUCUCUGGAGCGGCUGGAAAAGCAAAUGUAGGCAUAAGUAACGAUAAAGGGAGUGAGAAACUCCCUCGCCGCAAGACUAAGGUUUCCUGAUCAACGCUAAUCGGAUCAGGGUUAGUCGGGACCUAAGGCGUACCCGAAGGGGGAAGUCGAUGGACAACGGGUUAAUAUUCCCGUACUCUGUAUAACUGCGAUGGGGUGACGAAGUGAUGAAAGAUCUGCGCACUGACGGAAUAGUGCGUUGAAUGGCGUAAGUGWUGAUUUGGGUAGGUAAAUCCGCCUGRAGAGCUGAAACCAGAUAGUACAGUGCGUCUUCGGACAAUCUGAUAAUGAUCCUAAGGGCUUCCGAGAAAACCCUCUAAGCUUCAGGUUAUAUAGACCCGUACCGUAAACCGACACAGGUAGUCGAGGAGAGUAUCCUAAGGCGCUCGAGUGAUUCAUGGCUAAGGAACUAGGCAAAAUCGACCCGUAACUUCGGGAGAAGGGUCGCUCCACUCCGGUGGAGCCGCAGUGAAAAGGCGCAUGCGACUGUUUAUCAAAAACACAAGGCUUUGCUAAAUUGAAAGAUGAUGUAUAAGGCCUGACACCUGCCCGGUGCCGGAAGGUUAAGAGGGGAGCUUAUCUUCGGAGAAGGCUUGAAUCGAAGCCCCGGUAAACGGCGGCCGUAACUAUAACGGUCCUAAGGUAGCGAAAUUCCUUGUCGGGUAAGUUCCGACCUGCACGAAUGGUGUAACGAUGUGCGCACUGUCUCAGCCAUGAGCUCGGUGAAAUUGUAGUUCCGGUGAAGAUGCCGGAUACCCGCAACGGGACGGAAAGACCCCGUGAACCUUUACUGCAACUUCACAUUGAUUUUGGGUAAGUGAUGUGUAGGAUAGGACGGAGACUUUGAUCAUGCCUCGCCAGGGGUAUGUUAGUCAUCCUUGAAAUACGUCCCUUUGCUUACUUGAAACCUAAUCCAGAAAUGGAGACAGUGUGUGGUGGGUAGUUUGACUGGGGUGGUCGCCUCCAAAAGAGUAACGGAGGCUUCUAAAGGUGCGCUCAUGACGAUUGGUAACCGUCAGAAGAGUAUAAUGGUAUAAGCGCGCUUGACUGUGAGACCGACAAGUCGAGCAGGUACGAAAGUAGAGCAUAGUGAUCCGGUGGUUCCGCAUGGAAGGGCCAUCGCUCAAAGGAUAAAAGGUACUCCGGGGAUAACAGGCUGAUCGCUCCCAAGAGCUCAUAUCGACGGAGCGGUUUGGCACCUCGAUGUCGGCUCGUCACAUCCUGGGGCUGGAGAAGGUCCCAAGGGUUGGGCUGUUCGCCCAUUAAAGUGGCACGCGAGCUGGGUUCAGAACGUCGUGAGACAGUUCGGUCCCUAUCUGUUGUGGGCGUUGGAAACUUGAGAGGACCUGUCACUAGUACGAGAGGACCGCGAUGGACAAACCUCUAGUGUAUCAGUUGUGCCGCCAGGUGCAUUGCUGAGUAGCUACGUUUGGAAUAGAUAAGUGCUGAAAGCAUCUAAGCACGAAGCUAGCCUCAAGAUAAGGUUUCCUUUAAGGGUCGUUAAAGACUAUGACGUAGAUAGGUUGCAGGUGUAAAGGCAGUGAUGUCAAAGCCGAGCAAUACUAAUUACCCGAAGACUUUUUUCG